rnacentral:rRNA from 1 species
CAGUAGCCGCGGGAAUACGGAGGGAGCUAGCGUUGUUCGGAAUUACUGGGCGUAAAGCGCGCGUAGGCGGUUACUCAAGUCAGAGGUGAAAGCCCGGGGCUCAACCCCGGAACUGCCUUUGAAACUAGGUGACUAGAAUCUUGGAGAGGUCAGUGGAAUUCCGAGUGUAGAGGUGAAAUUCGUAGAUAUUCGGAAGAACACCAGUGGCGAAGGCGGCUCACUGGCUCAUACUGGACGCUGAGGUGCGAAAGCGUGGGGAGCAAACAGGAUUAGAUACCCCCGUAGUCCCUGUCUCUUAUAU